GCGAAAACAAAGGCAACACGCGCCGUGCACCGGCGGGCGGCGGGGGCGGCGGCUGGCCACAGCUACCGCGCCGUACUCGAGAGGCGAAUGGUGCGGCAAAAGCCUUGAAAGGAUGAUGCAGGGAGCUGCCGCUCAAUCCGGGUGCUUGUUCUAAAUAAUGUCGGCUUGUGAUCAUCAUCUAGGGACUGCGUGUCAUUUCAUUUAAGGAAUCUGAAGCUUAUUUUCAACGCAGGAAAAAAUAAAAGUUGUGAACAAGCAUCUUUACAGCCAUAUAAUGACACCCGCCUAUCCUGAUUGGUGACAAUUCUAACAGAAGGAUCACCAAGUGGAAGCUUCACACCUAUCCUGAUCUGAUCCGAUCCAGCUUUUUUGAAAGAGAAGAUGCCAUCACGAUAUAUACUGGAAGGUAGUACCGGUACGCGUCAUCCGGUCCUGUGAAAUGAUUUGCCAACUGGUUCACUUCGAACCUUGCAUCUAUCCAUGGUUCGCUCAUAUACUUGCGUAAGUUACCACAAUGCCAACAAUAUGGAGCCUUUGAACAAGUGAUGCUCCAUAGUUGGUUACUCGGGAAUUUUGUGUUUAAGGAUAAGAAAGUGGCCAGUCAAUUCAUCAUGGUUUAGUGAAGGAGAUUGAAAGAGUGUGGUUAUUUCGGACUGAUAGUUGAGGUAUGCAAGAUUUCUGGUUUUUGAGUUCGUGGUUUUUUUUUGCAGAUUCGGUGACAAGUUCAGGAGGGUAAAAUAGACUUUUCUCAAAAGUGAUUGAUAACUGAACUACAAAUUACCCAGCCUAGCCCACCUAUAUCAGCCCACAUCAAAGGCCCAUCUCGUCUCCCACACCCGAACCUGCACGACGGCUCAAUGCCAUGGCGCACAUCACCGGCGGGCGUCGCUCGGACGGCCUAGGGUUACAUCCAGCGUGCUGCGCUCCAGAGGUAACUAGUGUGGCGAAGGUCUUGCAGAGAUCAUCUAGGAGCUGCCGCUCUCAAUCCGUGUCCUUGUUCCAAAGUUGGGCACAUGAUUUAUCUGGGGUUCGUUGGCUCUCGCAGUUGCAGGCAUCUGCUACCCCUACUGGAUGAGU